rnacentral:rRNA from 1 species
CCUACGGGAGGCAGCAGUGAGGAAUAUUGGUCAAUGGACGAGAGUCUGAACCAGCCAAGUAGCGUGAAGGAUUACUGCCCUAUGGGUUGUAAACUUCUUUUAUAUGGGAGUAAAAUGUUCCACGUUUGGGCUUUUGUAUGUACCAUAUGAAUAACGAUCGGCUAACUCCGUGCCAGCAGCCGCGGUAAUCCGGAGGAUCCGAGCGUUAUCCGGAUUUAUUGGGUUUAAAGGGAGCGUAGGUGGAUUGUUAAGUCAGUUGUGAAAGUUUGCGGCUCAACCGUAAAAUUGCAGUUGAAACUGGCAGUCUUGAGUACAGUAGAGGUGGGCGGAAUUCGUGGUGUAGCGGUGAAAUGCUUAGAUAUCACGAAGAACUCCGAUUGCGAAGGCAGCUCACUGGACUGCAACUGACACUGAGGCUCGAAAGUGUGGGUAUCAAACAGGAUUAGAUACCCCAGUAGUC